AUUGAACGCUGGCGGCAGGCCUAACACAUGCAAGUCGAGCGGAUGAAGGGAUCUUGCUCCUGGAUUCAGCGGCGGACGGGUGAGUAAUGCCUAGGAAUCUGCCUGGUAGUGGGGGAUAACGUCCGGAAACGGGCGCUAAUACCGCAUACGUCCUGAGGGAGCAGGGGUGUGAUCUUCGGACCUCACGCUAUCAGAUGAGCCUAGGUUGGAUUAGCUAGUUGGUGGGGUAAAGGCCUACCAAGGCAACGAUCCGUAACUGGUCUGAGAGGAUGAUCAGUCACACUGGAAUGGAAACGCGGUCCAGACCCCUACGGGAGGCAGCAGUGGGGAAUGUUGGACAGUGGGAGGAAGCCUGAACCAGCCAAGCCACGUGGGUGGAGAAGGUCUUCGGAUUGUGAAGCACUUCAAGUUGGGAGGAAGGGCAGUAAGUUAAUACCUUGCUGUUUUGACGGUACCAAAAGAAUAAGCACCGGCUAACUUCGUG
rnacentral:rRNA from 1 species